rnacentral:rRNA from 1 species
GAAUAUUGGACAAUGGGGGAAACCCUGAUCCAGCAAUGCCGCGUGUGUGAAGAAGGCCUGCGGGUUGUAAAGCACUUUCAGUAGAGAAGAAUUUCUGGGGACUAAUAUUCCUCAGGCUUGCCUUAACCUACAGAAGAAGCACCGGCUAACUCCGUGCCAGCAGCCGCGGUAAUACGGAGGGUGCGAGCGUUAAUCGGAAUUACUGGGCGUAAAGCGCACGUAGGCGGCUUUGUAAGUCGGUUGUGAAAUCCCCGGGCUUAACCUGGGAAUUGCAGCCGAUACUGCAUGGCUGGAGUAUGGUAGAGGGUAGUGGAAUUCCGGGUGUAGCGGUGAAAUGCGUAGAUAUCCGGAGGAACACCAGUGGCGAAGGCGGCUACCUGGACCAAUACUGACGCUGAGGUGCGAAAGCGUGGGGAGCAAACAGG